CCCAGGCAAAUAUGACACCCGAGCAAGUGACAAGCGUUAGAGGCAGCCAGGAGGGCAGCUCUGACUGGGAAUAGAUAGCCCUGGCUCAGCCGCCUUACGAGAGGCUGCUGGAGACUCCGAAGAUCCCGAACUGGGCCGUGCAGGAGAGUAACGGAACGGAUUGCAGAACUGCGGCCGCUGCAGCUAGCGCGGUGCGCAAUGUGGAUUCCCUUAAAGCUCUUAAGUUCUCCAGCAAAGCGCGACGCAACGUACGGGAGGGAAAGUUAGAGGCUUAGGUGCAAUGCAUCUCUCCAGACCUCCGGUUCCGACGAGGACCGGAGCACACGUUGCGUGCCGCGUACGGGCAAAGGCUGAGCCCCAAGGCUGCCGAACACAUUACACGUUUUAUACCCAACACAAAAAAGUGCGCGAGGGACUUUAUGGAGAAAAAGCAAUGCAGCUCCAGCAGUCCGGGAGGCGGGGAAAAGAAUACACGCAGCACGCAAUUACUUAAUGCUACACUUUAAAAACAACACACAAAGCAUCUAAUUGUAUCUGGGUUGCGUUUGUUCCACGUUCGUCCGCUUCGGAAGCACAAACAGGACAUCGGUGCACAGGGAACAACACACAACACGGAUGGAAAGUCAAGAAGCCACACAAAGACAAGACACGGACGGACAGCAAUUGCCAACACACAGAAACGCAGCUUCGGGUUACAGAACCAAAUCCUCGCCGAUCUCCAGCGCUUGUUCUGCGGCGGGCAGAAAAAAAGGCAAGAGGAAAAAUAACGACAAAUCCACUCCGUGGCUAUUUCAGCCGCUCCGGUUGCGGCUCAACUGUGCUUGUAGCGACGCGGCUGAGUGAUCCAGAUCUGAAAGGAUGCUGCCAAAGAGGAACAGACAGAAGAGUCAGACAGACCCGGUUGAUGCAUCCUGCUAAACUAUGUUUGCUUAACAAUGGCUUGUAGAAAAGCAUAAGCUGCAAGGUUCAAAAAAUCAUACUUAGCAUGCUCACCAAUCUUCCAUAUAACUGGAGAGAGGUAUACAGUGGGGUUAUGCGUACAGUAUUCCAGCCCUUAGUCCUUAACUCUUAAAUAUUUUUUUAUUAAUGGUUUGGAUAAAGAGGUUGGAGGAAUGCUUAUCAAAUUUGCAGGUAAUUAAAAGUUGGAGGAGAUUACCAGUAGCUCAGAAGGUUGG